UUUGAAUAAAGUAGUACAUAUACCGAUAAGUGUCUACACACUUGUUUCGGUUACAUAAUAAUAUAAAUAGGUAUAAUUUAUAAUCUAUAAAACUAUGUAUAAAAAUUUGAAAUUAAAAUAAUAUAGAUUAUUUAAUUCGAGGGAAAUAUAAAUUCAACAAUAUGUACAAUAUAAAAUUUAUAAAAAUCAAUUUAAGUUAAAAAUAUUAAUGUCUAAUAAUAUAAUAAAAGGUAACAAAAACAUUUAAAUCUAACAAUUCAAUCUACCAAUGGAUCAUUAUAAUAUAUCAAAGUAGUUGUGUAUAAUUGAUCUGUCUGUAUUCAAAAGAAAUAUUUUCAAUUGGUGUUUAAAACUAUAUAAAUUAACAAUGUACCUAAUAUAGUCCGGAAUAGUAUUAUAUGGUUUGGGAGCCAUGUAGGUAUACGAUUUUUGUGUACUAGUUUUAUUCAUAAGAGGAACAAUAAAAUGGUCUCUUUGACGAGUAUUAUAUUGGUGUGUUGGUAGUGCAUCUAAACUUUUAUUUGAAUAAUACCUGAUGCCAGAACACAGAUAGUAUAACUGCCUUACAUCCAAAAUUUUCAUUUCAGUAUAUAGACUAUCAGAUGCAUACACUGUACUUCUGGACAAGAUUAAUUUAAGAAAUUUUCUUUGCAUAAUUUCUAGGGAGGUGAUAUGUGUUUUAUAAGUUGAACCCCAUACUAAAAUUCCAUAUCGCAGAUGAGUUUCAACCAAUGCAAAAUAUAAAGUUUUCAAGUGAUUGGUAGGUACCAGUUGUUUUAGUUUUCUAAAUUUGUACAGUAUUACUCUUAAUUUAUUUAUUAAAUACUUUAUAUGUAGAUCCCAUUUCAUGUGGGGGUCUAUAAUAAUCCCUAAAUAUUUCAUUUUCUUUUCAGGUGCAAUGGACAUUGAUUGUGUAAUACAUAAGUGGUUAAAUUGAGGAGCACCCGAAGAAUAGCAACUAAAUGAAAUUAGCAGUGCGCUUGUUAUCCAAGGAGCGAUUUUAUCACGUUUCCUUCUUAGCUGUUUUUUCUCACUACACGCUUCCAGGUUAUGUUUCAAGAUUCUCAUAAAUGUAUUCGUCGCAACUUCUGGGUCCUGUAAAGAAUAUAUUGAAUCCCAUUUAGUAUUUUGAAAUGUAUAAGUUAACUUUGUUGUAUUAAUAAUAUUUCUGAAUUUU